UGGGGAAUUUUGGACAAUGGGGGAAACCCUGAUCCAGCCAUCCCGCGUGUGCGAUGAAGGCCUUCGGGUUGUAAAGCACUUUUGGCAGGAAAGAAACGUCGCGGGUUAAUACCCCGCGAAACUGACGGUACCUGCAGAAUAAGCACCGGCUAACUACGUGCCAGCAGCCGCGGUAAUACGUAGGGUGCAAGCGUUAAUCGGAAUUACUGGGCGUAAAGCGUGCGCAGGCGGUUCGGAAAGAAAGAUGUGAAAUCCCAGAGCUUAACUUUGGAACUGCAUUUUUAACUACCGGGCUAGAGUGUGUCAGAGGGAGGUGGAAUUCCGCGUGUAGCAGUGAAAUGCGUAGAUAUGCGGAGGAACACCGAUGGCGAAGGCAGCCUCCUGGGAUAACACUGACGCUCAUGCACGAAAGCGUGGGGAGCAAACAGGAUUAGAUACCCUGGUAGUCCACGCCCUAAACGAUGUCAACUAGCUGUUGGGGCCUUCGGGCCUCGGUAGCGCAGCUAACGCGUGAAGUUGACCGCCUGGGGAGUACGGUCGCAAGAGUUAAAACUCAAAGGAAUUGACGGGGUCAUAGCUGUUUCCU
rnacentral:rRNA from 1 species